CAAUAGCGUAUAUUAAAGUUGUUGCAGUUAAAAAGCUCGUAGUUGGAUUUCGGGAUGGCCCGGCCGGUCUGCCGCAAGGUAUGUUACUGGCCGAGCUGUUCUUCUCCGCAAAGACUGUGUGUGCUCUUAACUGAGUGUGCUCAGGAUCUGUGACGUUUACUUUGAAAAAAUUAGAGUGUUCAAAGCAAGCCAGCGCUUGAAUACAUAAGCAUGGAACAAUGGAAUAGGACUUUGGUUCUAUUUUGUUGGUUUCUGGAACCUUAGUAAUGAUUAAGAGAGACAGUUGGGGGCAUUCGUAUUUCGUUGUCAGAGGUGAAAUUCUUGGAUUUACGAAAGACGAACUACUGCGAAAGCAUUUGCCAAGAAUGUUUUCAUUAA
rnacentral:rRNA from 1 species